rnacentral:lncRNA from 10 species
AUCAGUACAACUGUGCAGAACUUCUGGAAGAUUGGCACAAAGCAUUUUAAAAAUCACUUUCUAGUCUAUAUUAAAUUCUUCAAGAAUACUUAUGAAGAAACAGGAAGUAACUAACUUUCUUUACCUUUUCAAGAAUUGGCUCGUGAGAAAAGGAUUUCCAGUAUUAUGUUGAAUAGAAGCGGUGAAAGUGGACAUCCUUUCCAGUGUUCCAGUUCUCAGAGGGAAUGCUUUCAACUUUUCCCCAUCUAGUAUGAUCUUGACGAGAACCUUGGCAAUAUCCUGAAUUUAGUACUAAAAGCAAAGGAUAAGGAAGGUGUUAUGUGGCCUCUGUAUAACAGAGAAUGUUCUAUACUGAAAACUUAUGAUAUACUUUCUACCUUAGACAAAGCCAGACAGCCUUCCAGUGGCCACUAAAGAAGAAACCUUCAUCUAGUCUACAUCACCAAGAGAGAACAGUGACAGCUAACACUGCUCCAGCCUCUACCACCUUCUUGACGUGGCACAGCCAUAGAACACAGGAAGUCCUCUUAGCUUCUAAUGAAAUUGGAAACAUGGGAACAUGCCCUAUAAUGAAUGGUCUAUAUCCAAGAGAAUACACUAUAUUAAAGUGUAGUAGAAAUUCAAUAUUUAUAAACUAUAAACUUCCAUUAUUUAAAACAAGUGUUUGAAAUAGUACCAGUUCCAAGCUUCGUUUUCUUCUUCAAGUAUUAUAUUUAUGAUACAAAAAUGGAUUUUCUAUUAGUCUAACCAUUUUUAAAAUUCUCAAAUUGAGUAUUUUUCUCCAGCUCUAAUACUUUUCAGAUGCUUCUUUGAUGUCAUUUACAGGGAGUUGAGGUUUUUUAAGUGUAUUAUGACCUUCCAGGCUUUCUGGUUUCAUAAGAACCUGGUGUCUGGGAUACUAUCAAAAAUAAUCUGUCCUCAUUUGAAUUACCCUAACAUUUUAGCUACAAAUCAACAGGCUUCUUGAGGGUAGAGAUAAUGCAUCCCUAGCACUUAGCCUGAAGUCUCUGAAACAGUACACUUUAAUAGAUCUGUACCUCUUUAAAGUAUUAUACUUAUUUAUAUUUAUACCAUUUCUGUGACUAGGUAUGUUUUCCAACUACAUUUAUCAUUUUGUGUUAUUACAAACGUGACAUAGUUAAAACAGAAAUGAUGAAAAUACAGAAAACCACAAAGAAAUAAUCACUUGUAAUUACUGCCUAUAUUAUAGAUAUAUAUUGUAUAUUUCCCACAUUAGCAAGCCAAUUUACCAAUUAUUAUUUAUUGGUUAAUUAGCAUUUCAUCAUAUGGCUGUCCAUACUUAUUUAUACAUACUAUAUAUAACAAUGUGGUGGCAAGGAAGGUGUAUAUUAUUGCCUAUGAUCUUAUAGGCAAGAUAAACAAUGCUUCUUAGUAGGUGUUCAUUUAGUGUAAGUCCUUUAUAAAAAUCAUUACAUUACUGAUUUUAAAUUAAAAAGGGAAUAAGCCAGUGGAUUUAUUUAUUGGUAUAACAAAACUUUGUAAAUUUUAUACCGAUAUUUUCUUUCACCAAAAGUUCAAUUCAAAUCCAGGCAUGGUGUCUCACGCCUGUAAUCCCAGCACUUUGGAAGGCCAAGGCAGGCGGAUCACCUGAGAUCAAGAGUUCAAGAACAGCCUGGCCAAAAUAGCAAAACCCUGUCUGUACUAAAAAUACAAAAAAAUUAGCCAGGUGUGGUGGCAUGUGCCUGUAGUCCCAGCUACUGGGGAGGCUGAGGCAGGGGAAUCGCUUGAACUCAGGCAGCAGAGGUUGGCAGUGAGCCGAGAUCUUGCCACUGCACUCCAGCCUGAGCAACAGAGUGAGACUCCAUCUCAAAAAAAAAAAAGUUCGAUUCAAAAUUAUUCCAUUAUAAACUAUCUGAUUAUAUUAUCCAGAAUUUUUCAACUCAUAUCGAAAUGCAAAUUUUUAAAUAUUUUUCCCAAAUAGAGUCUUAAUAGGGUUAAAGGUUGAUAGUCUCACAAUAAUACACUAUUCCACAAUGUAGAGCACUUAGCAGUAUCCAUAACAACCAUUAUUAUUUUAAAAAUAUUUUAAUAGUAAUAUUCUUUGAAAUAGUUGAUGAUUUAUUGUGACAGAAUGAGGAGAACCUAAGAAAGACUAUUUAUCGAUAAAUGAAUUUCUAACCAUGCUGACGGAAAAGCAGCUUUAUAUUUUACUUUUGAAAGAAGGUGAUGGUUGUA